AUUGAACGCUGGCGGCAGGCUUAACACAUGCAAGUCGAGCGGGGGAAGGUAGCUUGCUACUGGACCUAGCGGCGGACGGGUGAGUAAUGCUUAGGAAUCUACCUAUUAGUGGGGGACAGCAUCUCGAAAGGGAUGCUAAUACCGCAUACGUCCUACGGGAGAAAGCAGGGGAUCUUCGGACCUUGCGCUAAUAGAUGAGCCUAAGUCGGAUUAGCUAGUUGGUGGGGUAAAGGCCUACCAAGGCGACGAUCUGUAGCGGGUCUGAGAGGAUGAUCCGCCACACAGGGACUGAGACGCGGCCCAGACUCCUACGGGAGGCAGCAGUGGGGAAUAUUGGACAAUGGGGGGAACCCUGAUCCAGCCAUGCCGCGUGUGUGAAGAAGGCCUUAUGGUUGUAAAGCACUUUAAGCGAGGAGGAGGCUACUCUAGUUAAUACCUAGGGAUAGUGGACGUUACUCGCAGAAUAAGCACCGGCUAACUCUGUGCCAGCAGCCGCGGUAA
rnacentral:rRNA from 1 species